rnacentral:rRNA from 1 species
UGGGGAAUCUUGCGCAAUGGGCGAAAGCCUGACGCAGCGACGCCGCGUGUGGGAUGAAGGUCUUCGGAUUGUAAACCACUGUCGGGAGGGACGAAGCUCUGACGGUACCUCCAAAGGAAGCACCGGCUAACUCUGUGCCAGCAGCCGCGGUAAUACAGAGGGUGCGAGCGUUGUCCGGAAUUACUGGGCGUAAAGCGUGCGCAGGCGGUUAUGCAAGACAGGUGUGAAAUCCCCGGGCUUAACCUGGGAACUGCACUUGUGACUGCAUAGCUGGAGUACGGUAGAGGGAAGUGGAAUUUCCGGUGUAGCGGUGAAAUGCGUAGAUAUCGGAAGGAACACCAGUGGCGAAGGCGACUUCC